AUUGAACGCUGGCGGCAUGCCUUACACAUGCAAGUCGAACGGCAGCACGGGAGCAAUCCUGGUGGCGAGUGGCGAACGGGUGAGUAAUAUAUCGGAACGUGCCCAGUCGUGGGGGAUAACGUAGCGAAAGCUACGCUAAUACCGCAUACGAUCUAUGGAUGAAAGCGGGGGAUCGCAAGACCUCGCGCGAUUGGAGCGGCCGAUAUCAGAUUAGGUAGUUGGUGAGGUAAAGGCUCACCAAGCCGACGAUCUGUAGCUGGUCUGAGAGGACGACCAGCCACACUGGGACUGAGACACGGGCCCAGACUCCUACGGGAGGCAGCACGUGGGGGAAUUUUUGGGACAAUGGGCGCAAGCCUGAUCCAGCAAUGCCGCGUGCAGGAUGAAGGCCU
rnacentral:rRNA from 1 species